CAGUCGCCACGGUAAUACGUAGGGUGCGAGCGUUAAUCGGAAUUACUGGGCGUAAAGCGUGCGCAGGCGGUUGUGUAAGACAGGUGUGAAAUCCCCGGGCUUAACCUGGGAACUGCGCUUGUGACUGCACAGCUAGAGUAUGGCAGAGGGUGGUGGAAUUCCACGUGUAGCAGUGAAAUGCGUAGAGAUGUGGAGGAACACCGAUGGCGAAGGCAGCCCCCUGGGCCAAUACUGACGCUCAUGCACGAAAGCGUGGGGAGCAAACAGGAUUAGAUACCCCCGUAGUCCCUGUCUCUUAUAC
rnacentral:rRNA from 1 species